rnacentral:rRNA from 1 species
UACGGGAGGCAGCAGUGGGGAAUAUUGGACAAUGGGCGCAAGCCUGAUCCAGCCAUGCCGCGUGUGUGAAGAAGGCCUUUUGGUUGUAAAGCACUUUAAGCGAGGAGGAGGCUACUGGUAUUAAUACUACCGGAUAGUGGACGUUACUCGCAGAAUAAGCACCGGCUAACUCUGUGCCAGCAGCCGCGGUAAUACAGAGGGUGCGAGCGUUAAUCGGAUUUACUGGGCGUAAAGCGUGCGUAGGCGGCUUUUUUAAGUCGGAUGUGAAAUCCCUGAGCUUAACUUAGGAAUUGCAUUCGAUACUGGGAAGCUAGAGUAUGGGAGAGGAUGGUAGAAUUCCAGGUGUAGCGGUGAAAUGCGUAGAGAUCUGGAGGAAUACCGAUGGGCGAAGGCAGCCAUCUGGGCCUAAUCUGACGCUGAGGUACGAAAGCAUGGGGA